AACGGAGGGAGCAAGCGUUGUUCGGAAUUACUGGGCGUAAAGGGCGCGUAGGCGGCCCUGUAAGUCGUAUGUGAAAGGCCGGGGCUCAACCCCGAGUAUUGCAUGCGAUACUGCAAGGCUAGAGACAGGUAGGGGCGAGCGGAAUUCCCGGUGUAGCGGUGGAAUGCGUAGAUAUCGGGAAGAACACCGGUGGCGAAGGCGGCUCGCUGGGCCUGUUCUGACGCUGAAGCGCGAAAGCGUGGGGAGCGAACAGG
rnacentral:rRNA from 1 species